rnacentral:rRNA from 1 species
UGGGGAAUAUUGGACAAUGGGCGCAAGCCUGAUCCAGCAAUGCCGCGUGGGUGAAGAAGGUCUUCGGAUCGUAAAGCCCUUUCGACAGGGACGAUGAUGACGGUACCUGUAGAAGAAGCCCCGGCUAACUUCGUGCCAGCAGCCGCGGUAAUACGAAGGGGGCUAGCGUUGCUCGGAAUUACUGGGCGUAAAGGGCGCGUAGGCGGCUUAGUCAGUCAGGCGUGAAAUUCCUGGGCUUAACCUGGGGUCUGCGUUUGAGACGGCUAGGCUAGAGGGUAGGAGAGGGUCGUGGAAUUCCCAGUGUAGAGGUGAAAUUCGUAGAUAUUGGGAAGAACACCGGUGGCGAAGGCGGCGACCUGGCCUAUUACUGACGCUGAGGCGCGACAGCGUGGGGAGCAAACAGG